rnacentral:rRNA from 1 species
UGGGGAAUAUUGGACAAUGGGCGCAAGCCUGAUCCAGCAAUGCCGCGUGUGUGAAGAAGGCCUUCGGGUUGUAAAGCACUUUUAUCAGGAGCGAAACGCUGUCGGCUAAUACCCGGCGGAACUGACGGUACCUGAGGAAUAAGCACCGGCUAACUUCGUGCCAGCAGCCGCGGUAAUACGAAGGGUGCAAGCGUUAAUCGGAAUUACUGGGCGUAAAGCGUGCGUAGGCGGUUUCUUAAGUCUGCUGUGAAAUCCCCGGGCUCAACCUGGGAAUGGCAGUGGAUACUGGGAGGCUAGAGUGUGUCAGAGGGUGGUGGAAUUCCCGGUGUAGCGGUGAAAUGCGUAGAGAUCGGGAGGAACAUCAGUGGCGAAGGCGGCCACCUGGGACAACACUGACGCUGAGGCACGAAAGCGUGGGGAGCAAACAGGAUUAGAUACCCUGGUAGCCCACGCCCUAAACGACGCGAACUGGAUGUUGGUCUCAACUCGGAGAUCAGUGUCGAAGCUAACGCGUUAAGUUCGCCGCCUGGGGAGUACGGUCGCAAGACUGAAACUCAAAUGAAUUGAC